UAUUGGACAAUGGGGUCAACACUGAUUCAGCCAUGCCGCGUGUGUGAAGAAGGUAUUCGGAUUAUAAAAAACUUUAAGUUGGGAGGAAGGGCUUUAGGUCAAUACCUUGAAGCUUUGACGUUACCAACAGAAUAAGCACCUGCUAACUCUGUGCCAGCAGCCGCGGUAAUACAGAGGGUGCAAGCGUUAAUCGGAAUUACUGGGCGUAAAGCGCGCGUAGGUGGUUCAGUAAGAUGGGUGUGAAAUCCCCGGGCUUAACCUGGGAACUGCUUUCAUAACUGCUGAGCUAGAGUACGGUAGAGGGUAGUGGAAUUUCCUGUGUAGCGGUGAAAUGCGUAGAUAUAGGAAGGAACACCAGUGGCGAAGGCGACUACCUGGACUGAUACUGACACUGAGGUGCGAAAGCGUGGGGAGCAAA
rnacentral:rRNA from 1 species